rnacentral:lncRNA from 1 species
UUAGAGGAGCAGCACCGAGCUACGACCUCUCUGAUGCACUAGUAAUUUCAGCACCUCUUCAGCAGAUCCUCUCAAGUCAUGAGCUAGGCUUCGGUUUCAAUUUUGAUAGUCAAGUAAUGGUUUAAGUUUUAUGUAGGCAAACAGAUAGAUCCCAAGCUCAUCUACUAGGUUUUAUUGGGGAAUUCUGAAGGUGUCGAUAAGCAUU